AUUUCUUAUCUGGUUGAUGUGGUUGAGAAAGGUGCUCUCUGGUGAUGGGAAGCUAAGGAAAGCAGGAGUCGCUUUGCCAGGAUUUGAGAGGCUCCAGUGUCUUCCCUCCCAGAAAGACGCCCUUCCCCAACUACCUACUGGGAUACACUUCCCACCAUAAUAGCCCUUUGGAUUGAAGCCGUCAUCUCUAGAAGAGUCUUGCUAAAUGCAUGCAUUGGCCUAAUGGUACCGUACCACAUGAUCACAUCUACGUGGAUUCACCCUGCAGGCUGUUUAAAGAACCUCUCUUGCCCAGCCUGGAGUGCAAUGGCAUGAUCUCGGUUCACUGCAACCUCCGCCUCACUGGUUCAAGCAAUUCUCCUGCUUCAGCCUCCCGAGUAGCUGGUGCUAUAGAGAAGAACAACCUCCUGCCCUUGCCCUGAAUCCUGAGGAAGGUGAUGCACUCACAACAAGGGCAUCCCAGUCCUGGGGAAGGGCAGGAAGGACCCACCCUCAUCAGUCCCUGACAACUCCCACCCUUGUCCUUGGUCACCUUGGAAAUGAAAAG
rnacentral:lncRNA from 10 species